rnacentral:rRNA from 1 species
AGAGUUUGAUCAUGGCUCAGAGGGAACGCUGGCGGCGUGUUUACACAUGCAAGUCGUGCGCGAAAAUCCGAUUUCGAUUGGAUGAUUAGAGCGGCGAACGGGUGAGUAACGCGUAGGUAAUCUGCCCUUUAGCCCGGCAUAACACUCCCAACGGGGUGCUAAUACCGGAUGUGGUUGUUUUUCCUUCGGGAAUGAUUACUAAAGGUGGCCUCUUUACAAUGCUACCGCUAAAGGAUGGGCCUGCGUCCUAUCAGCUUGUUUGGUGAGGUAACGGCUCACCAAGGCGAAGACGGGUAGCUGGUCUGAGAGGAUGACCAGUCACACGGGGACUGAGACACGGCCCCGACUCCUACGGGAGGCAGCAGUGGGGAAUAUUGCCCAAUGGCCGAAAGGCUGAGGCAGCGACGCCGCGUGGAGGAUGAAAUCCCUCGGGAUGUAAACUCCUUUUACGUGGGAAGAACAAGCGCGAUGCGAAUAGUGUCGCGCCCUGACGGUACCAUUUGAAUAAGCUCCGGCCAACUACGUGCCAGCAGCCGCGGUAAUACGUAGGGAGCGAGCGUUGCUCGGAUUCACUGGGUUUAAAGGACGCGUAGGCGGAUUAGCAAGUCGGGUGUGAAAUCUUCGGGCUUAACCUGAAAAUCGCGCUCGAUACUACUGGUCUCGAGUGGAGCAGAGGGAAACGGAAUUCCUGGUGUAACGGUGGAAUGUGUAGAUAUCAGGAGGAACGCCGAUAGCGAAGGCAGUUUCCUGGGCUCUUACUGACGCUCAGGCGUGAAAGCGUGGGGAGCGAACAGGAUUAGAUAUCCUGGUAGUCCACGCUGUAAACGAUGGGUGCUAGUUGUUGGGGGAGGUUGCCCUCAGUGACGCAGUUAACGCGAUAAGCACCCCACCUGGGGAGUACGGCCGCAAGGUUGAAACUCAAAGGAAUUGACGG